GGGGAUGUAGCUCAGCGGUAGAGCGUAUACUUUGCAUGUAUGAGGCCCCGGGUUCGAGCCCCGGCAUCUCCA
rfam:Neotoma lepida isolate 417 scaffold_12336, whole genome shotgun sequence.